rnacentral:rRNA from 1 species
AUACGUAGGGGACGAGCGUUGUCCGGAAUUACUGGGCGUAAAGGGCGCGCAGGCGGAUAUUUAAGUCAGCUGUAAAAGGCAUGAGCUCAACUCAUGUAUGCGGUUGAAACUGGGUAUCUAGAGUGCUUGAGAGGUAGGCGGAAUUCCCGGUGUAGCGGGGAAAUGCGUAGAUAUCGGGAAGAACACCAGUGGCGAAGGCGGCUUACUGGCCAGCAACUGACGCUGAGGCGCGAAAGCCAGGGGAGCGAACGGGAUUAGAUACCCCGGUAGUCCUGGCCGUAAACGAUGAAUGCUAGGUGUGGGUGUCGAGAGGCAUCCGUGCCGGAGUUAACGCGAUAAGCAUUCCGCCUGGGGAGUACGAUCGCAAGGUUGAAACUCAAAUGAAUUGGCGGGG